UACGAAGGGGGCUAGCGUUGCUCGGAAUUACUGGGCGUAAAGCGCACGUAGGCGGCUUUCUAAGUCGGGGGUGAAAUCCUGGAGCUCAACUCCAGAACUGCCUUUGAUACUGAGGAUCUUGAGUUCGGGAGAGAUGAGUGGAACUGCGAGUGUAGAGGUGAAAUUCGUAGAUAUUCGCAAGAACACCAGUGGCGAAGGCGGCUCACUGGCCCGAUACUGACGCUGAGGCACGAAAGCGUGGGGAGCAAACAGG
rnacentral:rRNA from 1 species